rnacentral:rRNA from 1 species
CAAAGGAAUUGACGGGGCCGCACAAGCGGUGGAGCAUGUGGUUAAUUCGAAGCAACGCGAAGAACCUUACCAGGUCUUGACAUCCCGAUGCUAUUUCUAGAGAUAGAAAGUUACUUCGGUACAUCGGUGACAGGUGGUGCAUGGUUGUCGUCAGCUCGUGUCGUGAGAUGUUGGGUUAAGUCCCGCAACGAGCGCAACCCCUAUUGUUAGUUGCCAUCAUUCAGUUGGGCACUCUAGCGAGACUGCCGGUAAUAAACCGGAGGAAGGUGGGGAUGACGUCAAAUCAUCAUGCCCCUUAUGACCUGGGCUACACACGUGCUACAAUGGUUGGUACAACGAGUUGCGAGUCGGUGACGGCGAGCUAAUCUCUUAAAGCCAAUCUCAGUUCGGAUUGUAGGCUGCAACUCGCCUACAUGAAGUCGGAAUCGCUAGUAAUCGCGGAUCAGCACGCCGCGGUGAAUACGUUCCCGGGCCUU